GCUUCCCCGCCGGGGAUGGCCGGCCAGUGACGGCGCCGGGUGGCCCGCGCGUAGACACGGGGCCCUCGCCCAAGCUGCCACCGAGCCGCGGCCCCCGCCCUCGACCCUUCUCUCUCCCGUAUUCCGAGCUCUCUGGAAAGAGAGGAGACUCCAGGGAAGAUGUGGCUGAAGCUUUUUUUCUUGCUCCUCUAUUUCCUGGUCCUGUUCGUCCUGGCCAGGUUUUUUGAGGCCAUUGUGUGGUAUGAAACUGGCAUCUUUGCCACCCAGCUGGUGGAUCCGGUGGCGCUGAGCUUCAAGAAGCUGAAGACCAUUUUGGAGUGCCGGGGGUUGGGCUACUCAGGGUUGCCCGAGAAGAAGGAUGUCCGGGAGCUGGUGGAAAAGUCAGGUGACUUGAUGGAGGGUGAGCUCUAUUCUGCUCUCAAGGAAGAAGAAGCAUCCGAAUCGGUUUCUAGUACCAAUUUCAGUGGUGAAAUGCAUUUCUAUGAGCUUGUGGAAGACACAAAAGAUGGCAUCUGGCUGGUUCAGUGAUGCUCAAGGUUUGCAUUGACCACCACUGUCUGGCUUGUGUUCCUUGAGGCCAGUGGCUUACAUCUGUCAAAUGGCUGGCCUGGUCUGAAAGAACAAUCUCUGGCAGGACAACUGAGAAGAAUGAGAUUGAAACCCUGUCCUUGGCACUGUGAACUAGCCAGCUAAGCCAAUCAGCACAGCCACCUUGGUUUAAGCCCUUAAAAGAGGGUUGUACUUUUUAAAACUAUGCUUAAAAUUGAAAAUAUCUACUAGAAACAGAAGAGAAAUAUUGUCUCCAUUGCUUGCCAUUCUUUCAGCUCAGAUCAUAUAUAUUAAUCUAUUGUAAAGGAUAACUUUCAAGAAUUGUUUUUAGCAAUUUGAAUUGUUGUUAUUUUCUGUUUACAGUAGUCCCCCCUUAUCUGAGGGGGAUGCGUUCCAAGACCCCCAGUGGAUGCCUGAAACCGUGGAUAGUGCCAAAUCCUAUAUAGUCUAUGUUUUUUCCUAUACAUACAUAACUGUGAUAAAGUUUAAUGUGUAAGUUAGGCACAGUAACAACAACAACUAAUAAAAAUAGAACAAUUAUAACAGUAUACUGAAAUAACAUUUAUGUAAAUGUGGUGUCUCUCUCUCCGAAUAUCUAAUUGUAUGUAGUAUUUUCGGACGGCAGUUGACUGCAGAAAGUGAAACUGAGGGUAAGGGGAGACCACUGUAUUUUAGAAGAAGCUGACUAAUUUGUUCUCUGUCAUUUGUUUUAAGUCUAUGAGGAGUGUUUUCAUAAAUGAAGAUGCACAGAUGCCAGCCAGUUCAAUCCUCUUCAUAUUUUUAAGCUUUUCCAGGUCCAUGUUACGUAUAGUCUCUGUAAUGUGAACAGAAUUUAUUUUAGUUUUCAAGGUAGCAACAUACAUAUGACAUCUUUACCAAUGACACACUAUGAAAUACAUGUAGAACCAAGUGCUCUUUUUUCUAAGUUAUUCCUAACAUUGUUUUUCUCCUUUGUCCCUAACCCAAGCUCAUAUCUUUCAUUAGCUAUUCAUUUAACUGUUUUGUGGAUUCUUUGGCCCCAGUCUUCAUAGCAUUACAAAUAGAAGAUGGUUACUUUUCUUUCAAAAGACCCUUGGUCAGAGAGGCAGAUGGCACAGUGGAUAGGCUUCUGAAGUGGAGAAGUUAGCAUAAUUUAUGGGUUUUAUGGAUUUAUCCUCCUCCUAACAUUUCUGUUUCUCCGUUUUGACUUUUGUCAUAGUUCAAAGAAGGACAUAUUUGUUCCCUACUGGCUGUGUUACAUCAUAUGGAAUUUAAAGUCACUGGAAUUGAGGUAGCAGUGAGAAGCAUCAUAUGAUUUAAAAUAAAGCUUUGGGUCAAUAUUUACUGAAGUAUUACAUCAAUAUAUUUCCUGUUUGGCUGACAAGAGUUAAUAGCUGAUUUUAAACUUGUUUAUCUUUGCUCCUAGACAAAAGUUUUGUUCGAGGAGAUUCUAAAUUAUGUAUUUCUUUCUUGAUACUGCUAUGGAGGUGAAGCACAUAGCAAGCCACUUUAUCUUAUAUUUUGUAUUGGUAAAAAAUUUUAUAAAUUCUAUGUAAGAAUACAAAAAAAUUAAAAGACCA
rnacentral:sRNA from 1 species